GUGUUGUAUGAAAGGAGAGUAGGUUAGCACUGCCCCGGAAAAGGAUGGAAGAGACCCUCAGGCCUCACAGCAUGCAUACAGGUAAGGCAUUGCCAUCUACUUCAUGACAUCUAACCACUGGAUUUU
rnacentral:ncRNA from 1 species